rnacentral:rRNA from 1 species
AGAGUUUGAUCCUGGCUCAGAUUGAACGCUGGCGGCAGGCCUAACACAUGCAAGUCGAGCGGUAACAGGGGUAGCUUGCUACCCGCUGACGAGCGGCGGACGGGUGAGUAAUGCAUAGGAAUUUACCCGAUAGUGGGGGAUAACCUGGGGAAACCCAGGCUAAUACCGCAUACGUCCUACGGGAGAAAGGGGGCUCCGGCUCCCGCUAUCGGAUGAGCCUAUGCCGGAUUAGCUGGUUGGUGAGGUAAUGGCUCACCAAGGCGACGAUCCGUAGCUGGUCUGAGAGGAUGAUCAGCCACAUCGGGACUGAGACACGGCCCGAACUCCUACGGGAGGCAGCAGUGGGGAAUAUUGGACAAUGGGGGCAACCCUGAUCCAGCCAUGCCGCGUGUGUGAAGAAGGCCCUCGGGUUGUAAAGCACUUUCAGUGAGGAAGAACGCCUGAUGGUUAAUACCCGUCAGGAAAGACAUCACUCACAGAAGAAGCACCGGCUAACUCCGUGCCAGCAGCCGCGGUAAUACGGAGGGUGCAAGCGUUAAUCGGAAUUACUGGGCGUAAAGCGCGCGUAGGUGGCUUGAUAAGCCGGUUGUGAAAGCCCCGGGCUCAACCUGGGAACGGCAUCCGGAACUGUCAGGCUAGAGUGCAGGAGAGGAAGGUAGAAUUCCCGGUGUAGCGGUGAAAUGCGUAGAGAUCGGGAGGAAUACCAGUGGCGAA